rnacentral:misc_RNA from 1 species
CCAAACUUGGUCAUUUAGAGGAAGUAAAAGUCGUAACAAGGUUUCCGUAGGUGAACCUGCGGAAGGAUCAUUACUGAGAAAAUUCAGUUGUGUUGUCGCUGUCCUUCCUGGGAUGUGCACGCCCAGCUGUUGUUUCCAAUCUUCUUCACCUGUGCACCUCUUUGUAGGCUGGUUUGCGGUUUGGUCCACAAUGCCAUGCUGAGUGAAUUUUGGCAGCGUUUGACCGAUUUGAGGGUUUGCUGUUCCUUUUGAGUGGACGGCUUUUCCUUGCACGCGCGGCCGGUCUAUGUAUGUCCAUUUACAAACCCACAUGUACCAGAAUGUUCUCUUGUUUGUUUUAAUACAAUGUUACAACUUUCGACAACGGAUCUCUGGGCUCUCGCAUCGAUGAAGAACGCAGC